ACUAAAGCAAAGACUGGGAAGAGUACGAUGCCAUCCUGCUUCAAGAGAGGGAAAUCAUUAGCUGAAAGAUUUCCUAAGAGGAACAUCAGAAUGUCGCCCAUGAGCUUCUUCCGCGAAAAGGCCAAGAGCCCCAGUAGUCGAGGACGGAUCAAAUCCGUUAUCUUAUUUAAGAGCCAAUCCUGUUUUGGGAUUGGAAAAAAGGUGGUACCGCGAAGCAAACUCCAUUCGUCCUUUUA
rnacentral:ncRNA from 1 species